UGGGGAAUAUUGCACAAUGGAGGGAACUCUGAUGCAGCGACGCCGCGUGAACGAAGAAGGCUUUCGAGUCGUAAAGUUCUUUUAUAUGGGAAGAUAAUGACGGUACCAUAAGAAAAAGCCCCGGCUAACUACGUGCCAGCAGCCGCGGUAAUACGUAGGGGGCUAGCGUUGUCCGGAAUCACUGGGCGUAAAGGGUUCGCAGGCGGAAAUGCAAGUCAGGUGUAAAAGGCAGUAGCUUAACUACUGUAAGCAUUUGAAACUGCAUAUCUUGAGAAGAGGAGAGGUAAGUGGAAUUUUUAGUGUAGCGGUGAAAUGCGUAGAUAUUAAAAAGAACACCGGUGGCGAAGGCGACUUACUGGGCUCAUUCUGACGCUGAGGAACGAAAGCGUGGGUAGCAAACAGG
rnacentral:rRNA from 1 species